CUCCGUAAAUAAUAAAGUAUGUUAAAUAUUAUUCAGAUAUAUAACACAUAAAUUGUAAGGGAACAAUUUAUUCAAGUUAUGUAGAUAUAUUAGUGAGAGGUAUGAUCAAGUAAGCAGAGACAUAAAUUCUAUUGACUCUAGCAUAUGCAAACUAUAGACAAUGUCACCAAAUCAUCAUAUAGUAGGACUAAAAAAAUGUUAGCACAACUCGUGCUCAAAGUUGUUACGAACAUUCUGCAUUUACAGUUUAUCAUUCAUAUUGUAUUGGUGUCAACAACUUCUGAACAAUCCAAUGUACUAUGGAGAAAAUCAACUCACUAUAUGUUGUUCCUGAAAAUUAUUGAAAAGUGAAUACAUCAGAAAUAAGUCGACAAAAGUUUCUGUUAAAGUCUAUCAAUUUUACUAUUUUCCCAAAUAGAGGAUAUAGACAACAAAAAGUAAGUUGCUUUUAAGAGUCUAUUCCUUCUUUAUCUGCUUGAACAAGUCAUGUUUUUGUGUGACCUACAAAUACCUUUUAGAGUACACAUCUGCUCAAGCCAUCUCUUGGCAAAAUUGGGAUAGAAGUGAGACACAAUCUCUAUUGAAGAUGAAUUCAUAAGAAGAUAAUUUAUGGAUAGAUUUAUUUUGGCUACCAGGAAGCCAUCGUAAGAUAUUACAUAUACAAUUUUUUUUCUUUUCCUCCUAAAGAUCAUUGUACUUUAGUAUGCUAUUUGUUUUACAAAGCGCAACAAAAAUGCUAUUUAAAUUACUGCACUUAGACAUUGUAGCUUCUAUAUCUAACAAUAUGAUAAGAACCUUAUAAGUUCAAGCAAAUUAAAGAUAAUGAUACAAAGGAAUGGGUCAGACGUGCUUUGACAUUAUCCUUACCUUUAACAUUAAUAAUUUGAGUGUCUGACUUAGAUAAAAACAUGUUAUAGCUACCUUUUAUCCUUUCAUUUCAGUUUACUACUCGUAACUUAAGAUUUUCGAUUCAAUAAAUAAAUAGUUGAACAAGAUUUUUUAAAGAAAAACUUGUUCCACAUGCAUAAUCACAUAAAAUCUGAACAGAGAACACCUCAUUAAGGAAAUGAAUAUCACCUAAAUCAUUUCCAAACAUCAUUAAUCUCUUACUUUAUGAUCAUCCUCUCAAUUCCAGCAUAUUGUAAUUAUGAAGACGAUAAAGUAUCAUGUUUUGGUAUCGUCUCCCAAUCUGCUAAUAUUUCAGAAGUUGCAAUUCAAACAAUACAAAAAUAAUAGAAGAAAUUUAGAUCAUACUAAAAGAAUAACUUCUAUCUAAGAAUAACUAUUAAAUACUAAUACAACAUCAUCCAAAAUAGAACACUAUGGUUCCUACAAAUCUUAAAAAGCUUGAAAAUUUGUACUUGUAGGCUUGAAAAUUAGAGAAUUGAAAUCAAUCAUUUUUCUUGGUUUUUCUUGAUCACUUACCUCACUCGGCAGUAUAUUUGUUAAAGCGAGUAAGGAUCCAGAAGUUCUAAUUGGCAAGUAUAUCAUACAUUUUUGAAUUACAAAAGAGUCAAAUAUAAUAGUACACAUAGUAUCUAUUAAUACAAAGUUAAGGCAAAGUACCAAGGAUUUGGUAACUCUUCAUCUUCCAUGACACGGGGACAAUUAGAAUAAAUUCCUAAAAAAAUGGCUGGACAUAUAAGUGUAUAUAUAUAUAAAAAAUCUUUCCAUCCAUAUCCACAUUUUUUUACAUAUAAAUUAAAGAUAAUCACCAAAAAAGUAAAACUUGCUUAAUUGAAGUAGCACUAUAUACAUUCUUAAUAUCUUGCCCCUUUCUUUCAUAAUUAGUCAGCAAGGAAGUUAAAAGCAUUUCAUUAACAUCCUAAAAGUAUAUUAUUUUAAUAUAAAUGGACAACAUCGUUGUUGGUCAUAAUGUCUUUUGUGGAUCUGGGGAUAUGAUGACACAAUUGUCAAAAUGAAGCAUUCAAAAAUUUAUUCGCAGAUAAAAUCAUAACAUCAAGUAGCAUUAGAUAGUUGAAAGUAAGAUAUUUCAACUUACAAAAUUAAUUAAGCAAAGCUUUAAGAAACCGUUAAAUUGAACCUCUGAUCAAAUAAAGAGAACCAACUGAAACGGGAUAGGAAACGGAUAAAACAAUGUAUUAAAAGAAGAUUUCUUUGUUCGGUAUAAAAUAAUUUUAUACAAUACCAAUUAAAUGUCGUGGUGCUACAAAACACAAGUAUGUGACUUCUUCAGCUGUCGUGCCAUGCCCAAGUGCUAUUUUUCUUCCAUCAUCUGAAACAAAAUACAAUUAGUUUAAAAGAAUCACGUCCUCUUAUAUGUUAUCCAAAUAUCACUUUCAUAUAGCCUUGUAAAGUUGUAUAUAUACCAUUCACAAAUUUUUACCCAACAUUUAAUAGUUGGUCCAUUCUCAGCCUCGAUAAAGUCCAUCUUGUUGCAAUAGGAAUGAACAACAAUAUAUUUUCAUAAACACUUCAUGAGUAAAUUAUUUUUUUCCUUCAUCUAUUUAUUUCUAGGGCUACUAUUUUCUUGUCUAAUGUGACAUUGUCCCACUUUAUUAGAUGUAUUGCCUUGUUCUAUCUGUUUCUUUAUCAUUUUUCCCACUUCUCAUUCUGUCUCUUUCAUAAAACUUAUAUGUCAUAUUGAUAGCAUGGGGAAGACAUACAUCAAACAAAUACUACUCUCUCCGUUCCGUUUCAAAAAGGAUGACCUAAUUUGACUUUGAACGGAAUUUAAGAAAAGAAAGAAGACUUUAUAAUCUUGUGGUUCUAUAUUAAAAUUAUGUCAAAUGUAACAAAAUACCCUUUAAUCUUGUACAUCUUAAACCUUUGUAGUCAUAAACAUGUAGUCUUAAACAUGUCACGCCACGUGAAAAGUUAAAGUUAAAAGUGUUGCCAAAAAAGGAAAGGGGUCGUUCUUUUUUAAACAAACUAAAAAGGAAAUAUGAUCAUUCUUUUUUAAACGGAGGGAGUACUAUAUAUUAAUUUAGUAUUAUAUUUCUUUCCAUAGUUUAAAAUUAUUAUUUCUCGCCUAAAUUAAUAUAGAAUUAGGCAACAUAAUUAAAAUGUCAAUACUUAGUCUAUUUGGCCAAAAAAGAUAAUUUCCGAUUUAACAACAAUAUCAUCAUAUUGAAUCAUCACUUGAAUCUAAAUGCGAAAUUCAGUAGACAAAACAGUAAGGAGUUAAAAUUUGAAACUUAUAGCACCACAUGCUGCUACCAUCAGUGCAUUUCCUAUAACUAUGAAAUGCCAAAAUAAUAUUGAUACAUAGCUUAUAAUUUUGUAUCUCAAAGAAAUGAUAGAAUUUACUCAUUCAAAUGGAGAAACAGAAUAUGCGCUAUGUGCGCACCUUACAGUCAGCAGAGGAAAUCAUAUCAUUCGUAUCAUUCUUGACACAAUCCAAAAACUGAAGGCAUAUUGCAUGCAGCCUGCUAAAAACAACAAAAAGAACAUAGCAAAAGAUCACUUGAUAUAUCAUUGUGAAAAAUAAAUAUAAAUGCAUAAAAUUAGAAGUGUUUUACAAUCGUUUGUAACAUUAAUAAUGUCAUCCAACAUGAGUCAUACAUUAACUUUCUUUUUCACAUCAAACACCUCCCGGAGGAGCAAAAAUAAUUAGUUUGGAAGACUAUUUCAAAAUUUUCUAUAGAUUCAUGGACAUUAUCUAUUUAAUUUACACGGAAUAACAAAAAAUCAUUUUGCAAGAAAUAAGAAACAAAAGAGUUGGUGGUAAAAAGCUCCUUAAGUGUCCUUAUAUUUUAGUUUCAUUAUUGAAGUACACCGCCAACUAUUUAUUAAAACACCCAUCAAUCAUAAAAAAAUCACUUCUCCUAGGUGAAUCGAUGAUUGAUAUUUCAGCUAAGAAACUCAGACACACACAUGAUAGUUUAGAUAAAGUUUUCAGCCAUCACUCCAGAAACAAAUAAGCAAAAAAGCAAAAACGGCAAAUAUGACUUUCCUGUUUUGAAAUACCCAAUUCCACUUGUUUCUAAUAUCCUUGUAUAGUUGGUUGUGGAGAUUAUCAAAUUCACCCAUUUGACAAUUAUCACAUGAAGACACACUAAUCUUACAAAGAGUUGUGCACCAUAAAUGGGUGAUUAUGUCGAGUUGAUGGGAUUUCUCUAUGUCUGAUUCAAAAUUUUGAGAGAAAUAGUAAGUGAUAAUGCAAUUAUAUUUGACCAUAUCAUUUUCAUUUCUUCAUCUUUUUGUUGCUACAGACUCACUUGUCACAUGUAAUUUUUGGGCAUUUCUUCGUAUUCAGCAAACAGAGGUAUAGAAAUGCAUUUUCUAAGAUCAAAGGUCCUCCAUCAGAACCAUAUACAGAAAUAGAUUUAUAUAAAGCGAAGAUAAUGAAAGCAUCAAUUUCAAAAGUAAUCCAAAUCGAUAAUUCAAGUUCAGAUAUUUGUGCUCAAUUUCUUUCCUUUCCUUUCUUAUCCAAGUACAUGCAAAAGGCUACAUAAAAAAUUACAAAUUGAAAGAACACCCACAUCCAAAACAAAGCGGAAGAAACACUACAUUUCAAUAACAAAAAUUACCAAAAAAAUUGAGAUACAAAAUAGAGAAAGUAGAAAACGGAAGCAACAACAACAUCCAAUCAAGUUUUUACCACAACUUGAAAAAAUUUGAAACCCAUCAAAUGAAAAAAUUGAAAAAGGUUCAGACUCAUCAAAUGAAAAAAUUGACAAAAGGUGAUCAAUCAUAGACUAAAAACAGAAGAAAAAAGGUAAGAGGCAAUGCAUACCUAAGAUGACUCAAGUUUUCCUGAAAAUUCCAAAUGAAGUCUUCGAGUCAUUUCACAAGAGUAUUUGUUCUUAAAGUCCACAUGAAAGGGUACUUGUUGGGUUGUACUUGGUCUAAACGUAAAUAAUGGAAUA
rnacentral:lncRNA from 1 species